CCGGUCAAACGGUUCGAAGGUGCCCCUACCGCCAUGCCAUGGCGUUCGGGGUUAAACGGGAAGCAGGUGCGCCGUGUCGUCGCCGACACGGUCAUUCCUGCGCUGCCCCCGCAACGGUCGGCGGAUCGGAAACUCUCAAGCCCGCGCCUCUUCGAUGAGGCCGGCAGCCACUGCGCUUCGGCGUGGGAAGGCGAGGGUUUCUGCCGCGGCGCGCACUGCCACAGUGCGCGCCGCGGCGCUCCGCAAGCCCGGAUACCGGCCUUCGCAACCGCCUUCGGA
rnacentral:ncRNA from 1 species